UACGUAGGGUGCAAGCGUUGUCCGGAAUCAUUGGGCGUAAAGCGCGCGUAGGUGGCUUCGUAAGUCCGUUGUGAAAGUCAAAGGCUCAACCUUUGAAUGCCGAUGGAUACUGCGAAGCUAGAGUACGGAAGAGGCGAGUGGAAUUCCUGGUGUAGCGGUGGAAUGCGCAGAUAUCAGGAGGAACACCAAUAGCGAAGGCAGCUCGCUGGAACGGAACUGACGCUGAGGCGCGAAAGCGUGGGGAGCGAACAGG
rnacentral:rRNA from 1 species